rnacentral:rRNA from 1 species
CCUACGGGGGGCAGCAGUGGGGAAUAUUGCGCAAUGGGCGAAAGCCUGACGCAGCGACGCCGCGUGAGGGAUGAAGGUCUUCGGAUCGUAAACCUCUGUCAGCAGGGAAGAACGGUCACUGUGCUAAUCAGCCGUGAAUUGACGGUACCUGCAAAGGAAGCACCGGCUAACUCCGUGCCAGCAGCCGCGGUAAUACGGAGGGUGCGAGCGUUAAUCGGAAUUACUGGGCGUAAAGCGCUCGUAGGCGGUAUGUCAAGUCAAGGGUGAAAUCCCCGCGCUCAACGUGGGAACUGCCUUUGAAACUGGCAAACUGGAGUGUGUGAGAGGAUAGUGGAAUGCCAGGUGUAGGGGUGAAAGCCGUAGAUAUCUGGAGGAACAUCAGUGGCGAAGGCGACUAACUGGCACAUAACUGACGCUGAGGAGCGAAAGCGUGGGUAGCAAACAGGAUUAGAUACCCUAGUAGUC